GGGGAAUAUUGCACAAUGGAGGAAACUCUGAUGCAGCGACGCCGCGUGAGUGAAGAAGGUCUUCGGAUCGUAAAACUCUGUCCUUGGUGACGAAAAAAAUGACGGUAGCCAAGGAGGAAGCCCCGGCUAACUACGUGCCAGCAGCCGCGGUAAUACGUAGGGGGCUAGCGUUAUCCGGAUUUACUGGGCGUAAAGGGUGCGUAGGUGGUUUCUUAAGUCAGGAGUGAAAGGCUACGGCUCAACCGUAGUAAGCUCUUGAAACUGGGAAACUUGAGUGCAGGAGAGGAAAGUGGAAUUCCUAGUGUAGCGGUGAAAUGCGUAGAUAUUAGGAGGAACACCAGUAGCGAAGGCGGCUUUCUGGACUGUAACUGACACUGAGGCACGAAAGCGUGGGGAGCAAACA
rnacentral:rRNA from 2 species